CCUACGGGUGGCAGCAGUGAGGAAUAUUGGUCAAUGGACGAGAGCCUGAACCAGCCAAGUAGCGUGAAGGAUGACUGCCCUAUGGGUUGUAAACUUCUUUUAUAUGGGAACAAUAUGUUCCACGUGUGGGAUUUUGUAUGUACCAUAUGCAUAAGGACCGGCUAACUCCGUGCCAGCAGCCGCGGUUAUACGGAGGAUCCGAGCGUUAUUCGGAUUUAUUGGGUGUAAAGGGAGCGUAGGUGGAUAGUUAAGUCAGUUGUGAAAGUUUGCGGCUCAACCGUAAAAUUGCAGUUGAAACUGGCGGUCUUGAGUACAGUAGAGGUGAGCGGAAUUCGUGGUGUAGCGGUGAAAUGCUUAGAUAUCACGAAGAACUCCGAUUGCGAAGGCAGCUCACUGGACUGCAACUGACGCUGAGGCUCGAAAGUGUGGGUAUCAAACAGGAUUAGAUACCCCAGUAGUC
rnacentral:rRNA from 1 species